AAUCUGUGGUACGGGCAUUUUUGAAUCAACAUCUUGAAACGUUCCCACACCUCAGAGCAACUUCUCCCACUAUCUGUCUAAAGACAAUAAUCUCUCAUCUUAAUU
rnacentral:snoRNA from 1 species